rnacentral:tRNA from 1 species
GAAGGGUGAUUAGCUCAGCUGGGAGAGCAGCUGCCUUACAAGCAGCGGGUCGGAGUCGCGGGUUCGAGUCCCGUCCGCUGCGCCA